rnacentral:rRNA from 1 species
CACGUAGGGGGCAAGCGUUGUCCGGAUUUAUUGGGCGUAAAGAGCUCGUAGGCGGCUCGUUGCGUCGGCUGUGAAAACCCGCAGCUCAACUGUGGGCUUGCAGCUGAUACGGGCGGGCUGGGAUUCGGUAGGGGAGACUGGAAUUCCUGGUGUAGCGGUGAAAUGCGCAGAUAUCAGGAGGAACACCGGUGGCGAAGGCGGGUCUCUGGGCCGAUAUCGACGCUGAGGAGCGAAAGCGUGGGGAGCGAACAGG